rfam:Hordeum vulgare subsp. vulgare, WGS project CAJW01000000 data, contig: morex_contig_43883
UAACUACUCCCUCCGUCCCAAAAAAUUUGUCUUAGAUUUAGCAAGAAAUGAAUGUAUCAAAAUACUAAAACGUGACNNGAUACAUUCAUAUCUAGACAAAUCUAANNNNAGAAUUUUGGAACGGAGGGAGUACAAA